UACGGAGGGGGCGAGCGUUAUUCGGAAUUAUUGGGCGUAGAGGGCGCGUAGGCGGCUGAACAAGUCAAAGGUGAAAUCCCUCGGCUCAACUGAGGAACUGCCUUUGAAACUGUUCGGCUUGAGGCCGGGAGGGGGUAGCGGAAUUCCCAGUGUAGCGGUGAAAUGCGUAGAUAUUGGGAGGAACACCAGUGGCGAAGGCGGCUACCUGGACCGGUUCUGACGCUGAGGCGCGAAAGCGUGGGUAGCAAACAGG
rnacentral:rRNA from 1 species